CAACAGGGAUUGCCUCAGUAACGGCGAGUGAAGCGGCAACAGCUCAAAUUUGAAAUCUGGAGUCUUCGACUUCCGAGUUGUAAUUUGAAGAGGAUGUUUCGGUUGGGACCACGGUCUAAGUUCCUUGGAACAGGACGUCGUAGAGGGUGAGAAUCCCGUACACGGCUGAUGGUCUCCUUCCAUGUGUAACUCCCUCGAAGAGUCGAGUUGUUUGGGAAUGCAGCUCAAAAUGGGUGGUAAAUUUCAUCUAAAGCUAAAUAUUGGCGAGAGACCGAUAGCGCACAAGUAGAGUGAUCGAAAGAUGAAAAGCACUUUGAAAAGAGAGUUAAACAGUACGUGAAAUUGUUGAAAGGGAAGCGCUUGCAAUCAGACUUGCUUUCAGUUGAUCAACGUUCCUUUUGGUUCGUGCACUCUGCUGUUUGCAGGCCAGCAUCAGUUGGUGCGGUGGGACAAAGGUUUCGGGAAUGUGGCUCCCUUCGGGGAGUGUUAUAGCCCGUUUCGUAAUGCCACCAGCGCCGACUGAGGUCCGCGAUUCGUCUAGGAUGCUGGCUUAAUGGUUGUAAGCGACCCGUCUUGAAACACGGACCAAGGAGUCUAACAUCUAUGCGAGUCUUUGGGUGUCAAACCCAUGGGCGAAAUGAAAGUGAACGGAGGUGGGAGUCCUCGGAUGCACCAUCGACCGAUCCUGAUGUUCUCCGAUGGAUUUGAGUAUGAGCAUAGCUGUUGGGACCCGAAAGAUGGUGAACUAUGCCUGAAUAGGGUGAAGCCAGAGGAAACUCUGGUGGAGGCUCGCAGCGGUUCUGACGUGCAAAUCGAUCGUCAAAUUUGGGUAUAGGGGCGAAAGACUAAUCGAACCAUCUAGUAGCUG
rnacentral:rRNA from 2 species